ACGAACGCUGGCGGCGUGCUUAACCCAUGCAAGUCGCACGGUAAGGCUCCAGCUUGCUGGGGUACACGAGUGGCGAACGGGUGAGUAACACGUGGGUGACCUGCCCUGCACUUCGGGAUAAGCCUGGGAAACUGGGUCUAAUACCGGAUAGGACCGCACCGUGAGGGUGUGGUGGAAAGUUUUUUCGGUGUGGGAUGGGCCCGCGGCCUAUCAGCUUGUUGGUGGGGUAAUGGCCUACCAAGGCGGCGACGGGUAGCCGGCCUGAGAGGGUGGACGGCCACAUUGGGACUGAGACACGGCCCAGACUCCUACGGGAGGCAGCAGUGGGGAAUAUUGCACAAUGGGCGGAAGCCUGAUGCAGCGACGCCGCGUGGGGGAUGACGGCCUUCGGGUUGUAAACUCCUUUCACCAUCGACGAAGGGUUUCUGACGGUAGAUGGAGAAGAAGCACCGGCUAACUACGUG
rnacentral:rRNA from 1 species